UUACAUUACAUCUAUUUUUUCUAUAGUAACACCGUAAAUGUAGCUUCAUGUGUAUAUCAUGUAUUUAGCAGUAAAAUAUUUUUUUCCCUAAAUUGUUUAGCACCACUUUGGACAAUAGUGGCAUUUUUUUAGGUAAUUAUCAAUUAAGAUUUAAUGAUUUUUUUUGGUAAAGAAGUUAGGAAUAUCUCAAAUUUUGUCUAGACCUAUUUCUCCAUUCAUAUCGACUUGAUCCUUUCAUAAAUAUAACAAUUACCUUAACUAUAUCAAGUAAAUCAAAUCCUCGUAAUCCUCCUCUAAUUUCUCAUGCU
rnacentral:lncRNA from 1 species